CUGCCAGAUAGAUGCCAGCCGGAGCUCUGCUGUAUGAGAAUUGCUGAUGGAAUUUUGUGCAUCUGUCCUGUUGGAGAGAGGAAUUUUUCACUGGAGAAAGCUCAAGCAUGAAGGCUGAAUGGUGGAAGAAGUAGGCUCUGAUGGACAUUACAGUUUAUCCCUCCAGAUCCACUUUCCUUCCCCAGGCCACGCUCCAUCCUGCUCUGUGCUUCACCAAGUUGGCCUGUAUGGGCUAUGCUGGUGGCUUCUUUGCAUUCUGUCCUUUGGUUGGGCCUAGCCAAUGAGAGGCACUGGUAAGGGAUGAGAGGGUGGAGAAGAAUGAGGUUGCAUUAUAUAUUCUCUAAGCUCAUUCUCUGGUGGCCUGCCACGAAUUGGCCACCUCACUCCACCAAAAGUAGUUCUUUCUGUCAGGUAGCCCUUUCUAUGAAACUACUCUCUUUGAGUUCAAGCAACUUCUUCCUCCUCUUACACUUUAGAUCAAGGGGUGGUAACAGCUCCUAGCCCUUGCUAGCCUGAGAUUGCUGUACAAAUUUACUGGUUUUCUUGAUGUCUGCCUACACAUUAUUAAACUCUUCUCAUUAUCCAA